UAGGGAAUCUUCCACAAUGGGCGAAAGCCUGAUGGAGCAACGCCGCGUGAGUGAAGAAGGGUUUCGGCUCGUAAAACUCUGUUGUUAAAGAAGAACAUAUCUGAGAGUAACUGUUCAGGUAUUGACGGUAUUUAACCAGAAAGCCACGGCUAACUACGCGCCAG
rnacentral:rRNA from 1 species